rnacentral:rRNA from 1 species
CACUCCUACGGGAGGCAGCAGUGGGGAAUUUUGGACAAUGGGCGAAAGCCUGAUCCAGCCAUGCCGCGUGCAGGAUGAAGGCCUUCGGGUUGUAAACUGCUUUUGUACGGAACGAAACGGCCUUUUCUAAUAAAGAGGGCUAAUGACGGUACCGUAAGAAUAAGCACCGGCUAACUACGUGCCAGCAGCCGCGGUAAUACGUAGGGUGCAAGCGUUAAUCGGAAUUACUGGGCGUAAAGCGUGCGCAGGCGGUUAUGUAAGACAGUUGUGAAAUCCCGGGGCUCAACCUGGGAACUGCAUCUGUGACUGCAUAGCUAGAGUACGGUAGAGGGGGAUGGAAUUCCGCGUGUAGCAGUGAAAUGCGUAGAUAUGCGGAGGAACACCGAUGGCGAAGGCAAUCCCCUGGACCUGUACUGACGCUCAUGCACGAAAGCGUGGGGAGCAAACAGGAUUAGAAACCCUUGUAGUCCCAUG